CGAAAGCCUGACGGAGCAAUACCGCGUGAGGGAUGACGGCCUAUGGGUUGUAAACCUCUUUUUUCAGGGAGGAAUAAAUGACGUGUACCUGAAGAAUAAGCAUCGGCUAACUCCGUGCCAGCAGCCGCGGUAAUACGGAGGAGGCAAGCGUUAUCCGGAAUUAUUGGGCGUAAAGAGUCCGUAGGUGGUUCAUCAAGUCUGCUGUUAAAGCGUGCAGCUCAACUGCAUAUAGGCAGUGGAAACUGUUGAACUAGAGUAUGGUAGGGGUAGGGGGAAUUCCCAGUGUAGCGGUGAAAUGCGUAGAUAUUGGAAAGAACACCGAUGGCGAAAGCACUUUACUGGGCUAUUACCAACACUCAGAGACGAAAGCUAGGGUAGCA
rnacentral:rRNA from 1 species